AAGAUUGAAUUGUUCAUUAAGUGAUGAUAAUUGUAAUGUAAAAGUAUGUGUGUGAUUUAAUGUAUUUAAUUAUAAAUUGAAUUAUAGUGAUACCACUGAGUAUAUGCAUACUCAGCGUACGGUUGUUUCCGUGCGUAGGUUGUAGAAGUCAAGUACUGAACCAGCAUCCAAAGCCAGACCCGACUUCAGUAAACUUUUGGUGAUG
rnacentral:lncRNA from 1 species